AGAAUGAAGAGGGCAAGAGUACAAGCAGAGAGGUGAAUGUAGUUGUCCAAGCAACAGAUGAGGGUGGCUUGGACAAGGCCAGUGGUAUAGAGACUGUGAAGAGAGAAGCAGAUGAUACUGGGGGAUUAGACAUCAAGUUAAAGAAAAGAACUGCUGACGGUGGUAAGACAGCAAAGGAAAAUCGGCACAGGGCCGGUACCAGUGCCACCUCCAAGAAGAGGAAUAAGAGCACAAGCAAGCACAAGCAUUUUGCAAGAGAAUUUUGUGAACCUGGCGUCAGUAUUCACAACACAACACAAAAAACACCAGCCAACUGCAACCAUUUUGGACGAAAGGGGGCCCCUGAAGCCGGAUCAACAGGGAGAAACUCUCAGAGGCAAUAUUUAUAGCUUGGUUAAAGUUGUACUUGUGGAAAACAGAAGAACGCUUCUCUACGUCUGUCCUCGCCAGAGAUUCUACACGUGACCGGCAGCACUUUCUUCUGCAUUAUUUGGUGUGUAUAAAGACACAGUUCUGAAAGGGCCGGCCUUUUUCUGUUUGGACUUUGAGGUACAAAGACACUGUUGCUAUACUCCUGAAGAAAGACCCUUCUUUUUUUUCAAAGACCCUUCUGACGAAGAUUUUUUUUUUUUUCUACCAGCAGCUGAGACAAUUGAGCCAACAUUUAUUUUUUAAUGAAAAUCACCUCCUCUUCAAAAAUGGGCCCCACGUGGCUCAUUCCUUUUUGAAGUUCUCUUUGAUUCUAAAGCUGAAAACGCACAGAACGAAUGUUCUUCUACCAAAAUGAAUUUGGCGGUAGGGAUUUACUACAAGGCCCCCUGACAAUGAUGAAGAGCCAUAUUCUAAACAUUCAGUCUCAGUUACUGAAGGUCACCUGUUAAAUGGAUGAAGCCUAAUUCUAUCCCACUUAGAAGCAAAACAACCAACACCUGCUUUGGGUCAACAGCAAGGGCUGUUUCCAGACCGAGCCCAAAAUAUCGCACUCAGAUAAAGUCAGACGCCAGUAGUUACUGACAUUCAGAAGAGCAUUUCAGAGGCUCUGACGAUCUGAAUUCACACACACAGCAAGCUUACCUUUAUCCAUCAUACUCUGUGAGAAAGAAAGUUUGUUUUUCUAAGUGAGAGGGCUUUACAUGUACCAAAAAGUUGCAAAAAUG
rnacentral:lncRNA from 1 species